rnacentral:lncRNA from 1 species
AGUUCUUGGAAGCAGACGAACUUGAGCGGCAGGGAAACGAAGUUAGGGAAUGGGAAUUAAAAAAAAAAAGAAAGUUACCUUAUCUCUUUUCGUAGCUCAUCUUCUGCGGCUUGAUUUUCUCCAGGGCAAAUCUUGGCCCGAAACUUCCUGUAAUUCUGCUCACCUUCUCGCUGCUGCUCUUGGCGACAUAACUGCUUUAUCCGAUUGGCUAAAGAACGCAUGGAAAAGUCAAGGGGCACUAUUUUCUUCUCAAUGUCAACAGCGACAUCCACCUCGGCCGCUGCCACGCUCUGCGUUGCCACCGGCUCUGGGGGGACGUCGGGCACCCCUUCCUUCUUAAAACGCUUGGGGUUUGGGGAUGAGGCGUUCGGGGGCUGAGGCCGGUGGAGGCCGCCAGCCUCUUGGUCUAAAGUGCCAAGAGCAGGUGCAGGGGCCUCUUCACAAGACUCCACGUGUUCUUGCGAAAACCCGUCCUCGGGGGCGCUUGCCGCAGGGUCGCUGCUGGGGUGGCUGCCCGUUUCGGGGGCGCUGGAGCCCUCCCCGGAGCCGGCGGAGGCGCUGCUGUGCCCCGAGGCCUCCUCCGAGGCCUCCCCUGGGCCCAUCGGGUCAGAGGGCGCCCGGGGGGAAGCCACCCCCUCCUCCCUCGGUUCCGAGAUGCGCCUGCGGGAGCAGAGGGGCCCGGGGGCGCCGCCUUUCUGCCGCGGAGAAACCCGCCUGGAGUCCGCGGUCUUGGCGCCCCGAGGCUUGUUCUCGGGCGCCUGCCGCAGGGAAAAGGCCUCUCUCAGUCUGGAAAUGGUCACUGCCCUUUUCUCUUGUCCCGCAGCCUUCAACGGGGCGGGAUGCUCCUGCUUCUCCAGCCCAGGCCUUUCCGUUUCUGCCGGAUGCCGUUUUAUUAACGUCAUUAUCAAACAUGUCUAUCAAAGACGUCUUCAAAACUGCCAGCAAAAGCUUCUCCUCCUGUAGUAAAAUCUGCCUCUUAUCCGGAGUAACGUUGAUAUCGACACAUUCUGAAUCAACAGAAAUGUUAAGGACAACGAAAGGAUACUGAUGCCGAUUGUACAGGUGAUAGACCUCAUUCACCAGUCUGGAAACCUGCACAAAACCCAGCAAUUAGAGGCCUUCCCGUCGUGGCUCAGCGGUGAACAAACCCCACUAGUGUCCAUGAGGACUUGGGUUCGAUCCCUGGAACCUCCAUAUGCAGUGGGUGUGGCCCUAAAAGGACAAAAGACAAAAAAAUAAUAAUUUAAAAAAAUAAAAAAACCCACAACAAUUAGAAAAGAAUAGCA